rnacentral:rRNA from 1 species
AAUCCCUUAUCGAGGAUCAAUUGGAGGGCAAGUCUGGUGCCAGCAGCCGCGGUAAUUCCAGCUCCAAUAGCGUAUAUUAAAGUUGUUGCAGUUAAAAAGCUCGUAGUUGGAUUUGUGGUGUACGGUGUGUUCCGGGCACUUGUUGUCUGAGUAACUUGCCGUUGCCAUCCUUGGGUGGAACCUGUGUGGCAUUAGGCUGUCGUGCAGGGGAUGCCCAUCGUUUACUGUGAAAAAAUUAGAGUGUUCAAAGCAGGCUUAUGCCGUUGAAUAUAUUAGCAUGGAAUAAUGAGAUAGGACUUUUUCGCUAUUUUGUUGGUUUGCGCGAAGAGGUAAUGAUUAAUAGGGACAGUUGGGGGUAUUCGUAUUCCAUUGUCAGAGGUGAAAUUCUUGGAUUUUUGGAAGAUGAACUACUGCGAAAGCAUUUACCAAGGAUGUUUUCAUUAAUCAAGAACGAAAGUUAGGGGAUCGAAGAUGAUUAGAUACCAUCGUAGUCUUAACCAUAAACUAUGCCGACAAGGGAUUGGUGGAGUCUCGUUACGUCUCCAUCAGCACCUUAUGAGAAAUCACAAGUCUUUGGGUUCCGGGGGGAGUAUGGUCGCAAGGCUGAGACUUAAAGAAAUUGACGGAAGGGCACCACCGGGAGUGGAGCCUGCGGCUUAAUUUGACCCAACACGGGAAAACUUACCAGGUCCAGACAUAGUGAGGAUUGACAGAUUGAGAGCUCUUUCUUGAUUCUAUGGGUGGUGGUGCACGGCCGUUCUUAGUUGGUGGAGUGAUUUGUCAGGUUAAUUCCGUUAACGAACGAGACCACUGCCUGCUAAAUAGCCCAGUGAGUGAAUUUUCACUGACUGCUGGCUUCUUAGAGGGACAUGCAUUCUAUCAGAUGCAGGAGGAUAGUGGCUAUAACAGGUCUGUGAUGCCCUUAGAUGUCCUGGGCCGCACGCGCGCUACACUGAUGCAUUCAACGAGUUUAACCUUGGCCGAGAGGCCUGGGCAAUCUUUUAAACGUGCAUCGUGAUAGGGAUAGAUUAUUGCAAUUAUUAAUCUUGAACGAGGAAUUCCUAGUAAACGCAAAUCAUCAAUUUGCAUUGAUUACGUCCCUGCCCUUUGUACACACCGCCCGUCGCACCUACCGAUUGAAUGGUCCGGUGAAGCCUCGGGAUUGUGACCAGUUCACUUCAUUGUGAGUUGGUUGUGAGAACUUGUCUAAACCUUAUCAUUUAGAGGAAGGUGAAGUC